GCAGACUCUCUCUCUCUGGCUGUGACAUCAACCUCCAGCGACCACACUGGAGGAGGAGCUCAGGAACAAACAAAAAGCAUGGAUAUAGUCUACUAUCUACUAAUCGCCUCAGUCAGAAGUCAACUGGAUGAGAUGGACUGGAGCUUUGACCUCUAUAAAUCUCCUAUCCCAAUGAGCUUCAAAUCCAGAUUACCUCAUGUCAGCAAAGCAGCCCCCGAAGAUCUGGGGGAAAGGUUGACUCUUGAUACGGUUGAUCAAAAGGAGUCACUUACAACCACUUGCUUCUCUCCAAGUAACUAAAC